UCUGCGGCCGGUGUGGCCGCGCCCAAAAUGGCGGCGCCGCCCUGAGGCGGUGCUCAGCUCCUCCGCCGGGGACAGACCCGCGGCGUUGUGUGCUGGCACGGUGGAAGGGACAACAAAGAUUACCGAGGAAGUUUCAAUGGAGACUGAAACAGUCCGGCAAAUGGCAAACGUGUAGUCCAACCCCAGUAUAUGCUUAUACAUAAACAUGACGUAGUGGUGAAGUCCCUGUUGAUCUAAAAGUGAAUAAAGCUCCUGUGUGGCUCACAGACCUUCCACUCAAGCGUGGCUAUAUUGCGUUUUCUUAUAUUGAGGUUAGAGGUAAAGCAGAAAAACAAUGGAACAGCAAGAGCUGGCUGCUCCACAGAGGGCAAGAGCCAAGCAUAACAACACAGGCCAGAGCCUCACUGCCCAAGCCCAGUCCCACAGAGCCUGAGCAAGGCAAGCAGGGAGCACUGGAUUCAGCCAGGAGUACAGAGCAUCAGACAAGUAACAAGGCAGGCCCAUGGUCAAGAUGUGAAGGCAGCCCAUAGGGUAGGUUCAGAUCCAGUGAGAACUAGGGUCAGACAUCACCUAGCAAUUGCCAUGAAGGUCCAUACUGAUAAGAAAAGACUGAGGUCAAGCUAGGAAGUCAGUCUGUGACUCCAAAUCCAAAUAAAUAUGGCUUGGCACAGUCAUGGCUGAGCUGUGGACACAUAGUGAUACAGGUCAGGCAUGAACUGAAAGCACAGGGCUUAGAUAAACUGGGGCUCCUGAGCCCAUGGGAGGGGUCAGGGGAGGAUUGUUGGGGCUAUUAAGGCCUGUUAGGGUGCUCAGGAUCCUGACAAACUACAUAUGAAAAAUGAGGGUUGACAAGAGGAAUCAGAAGGGUUAGUUGUAAUCAUUAAGUCAAACAAAGUUUUCAUAACUCAGUUUUAAUAUAAAGUCUCUCCUAGGCUUAGAUGUUGGCCAAAAUAGAAAUACAAAGAUAAAAUACCCGAGAUGAUUACAAAACCAAAAGCAGUUGGCCUUCUAAAUGGAAGGCAGAAGCUGAAAGAUAAAAUGCAUCUUGCAUCCUUUUGGGUGAAUAUUAUGUUUAUAUUUAGCAGAGUUGUAGUAGGUUCUCACUGACAAGUGAUCAAGAAGUGAGAAUCUUAUAACAGAGACAUUUCUGUCAAGAUGGCGUUUGCUUUCCACUUGCAGGACACUGAUUUUUGAUUCGUCUAGAACAUCACAUUCCUGGAUCUUUUCCUUCUUAAUCCUAACUCUAAACCUAACUUUUGGCUAGAAAAUGGGGAUCCUUACAGACUGCAUAUAUGUUGGGAUUCCAAUGAGAAAACUCAUGUGAAUUUUUAUCAGUGAGUGCAUAAAUGCCCAGUGUUUCUGCAACUUGUAGUGGUUUUAUUUAUUAGAUGUAGUUACAGUGAAUUUUGUAGUAUCCUGUUGUGGUGUAAUAAGUUGUUUUUAUCAGUUUCUUAUAAUUUAGUGUGAGUAAAGAACAUUAGUUUGCUUCAA